AGAACGAACGCUGGCGGCAUGCCUAACACAUGCAAGUCGAACGAGACCUUCGGGUCUAGUGGCGCACGGGUGCGUAACGCGUGGGAAUCUGCCCUUGGGUUCGGGAUAACAGUUGGAAACGACUGCUAAUACCGGAUGAUGACUUCGGUCCAAAGAUUUAUCGCCCAGGGAUGAGCCCGCGUCGGAUUAGCUAGUUGGUGGGGUAAAAGCCUACCAAGGCAACGAUCCGUAGCUGGUCUGAGAGGAUGAUCAGCCACACUGGGACUGAGACACGGCCCAGACUCCUACGGGAGGCAGCAGUGGGGAAUAUUGGACAAUGGGCGAAAGCCUGAUCCAGCAAUGCGCGUGAGUGAUGAAGGCCUUAGGUUGUAAAGCUCUUUUUACCGGGAUGAUAAUGACAGUACCGGAGAAUAAGCCCCGGCUAACUCCGACGCCAGCAGCCGC
rnacentral:rRNA from 1 species